rnacentral:rRNA from 1 species
AACGAACGCUGGCGGCAGGCCUAACACAUGCAAGUCGAACGCAUCGCAAGAUGAGUGGCAGACGGGUGAGUAACGCGUGGGAACCUUCCCAGUGGUGCGGAAUAGCUCAGGGAAACUUGAGGUAAUACCGCAUGAGCCCGCAAGGGGAAAGAUUUAUCGCCAUUGGAUGGGCCCGCGUCGGAUUAGCUAGUUGGUGAGGUAACGGCUCACCAAGGCGACGAUCCGUAGCUGGUUUGAGAGAAUGACCAGCCACACUGGGACUGAGACACGGCCCAGACUCCUACGGGAGGCAGCAGUGGGGAAUAUUGGACAAUGGGCGCAAGCCUGAUCCAGCCAUGCCGCGUGAGUGACGAAGGCCUUAGGGUUGUAAAGCUCUUUUGGCGGGGACGAUAAUGACGGUACCCGCAGAAUAAGCCCCGGCUAACUACGUG